GUCACUGCGGGAAAUGCCUGACACCGGGAUCGCUGAGGAAUCCUGGGAUCACCACAGGACCCCGGGAUCACUCCUGGACUCCAGGAUCACCACGGAACACUGGGAUCACCACGGGACCCUGGGAUCACUCCUGGACCCCGGGAUCACCACAGAACACUGGGAUCACCAUGGGACCCCGGAAUCACUCCUGGACUUCAGGAUCGCCAUGGAACACUGGGAUCACUCCUGGACUCCAGGAUCACCAUGGGACCCCGGGAUCACUCCUGGACCCCAGGAUCACCACGGGACACUGGGAUCACCAUGGGACCCUGGGAUCACUCCUGGACCCCGGGAUCACUAUGGGACACUGGGAUCACCAUGGGACACUGGGAUCAUCACGGGACCCUGGGAUCAACGUGAGACCCUGGGAUUGCUGUGGGACACUGGGAUCACCACGGGACCCCGGGAUCACUCCUGGACCCUGGGAUCACUGCGGGACCCUGGGAUCACUCCUGGACCCUGGGAUCACUGUGGGACCCUGGGAUCAACGUGGGACCCUGGGAUCACUGUGGGAUCCUGGGAUCACUUCCUGACCCUGGGAUCACUGCAGGACCCUGGGAUCAUUGUAGGACCCUGGGAUCACUGUGAGACCCUGGGAUCGCUGCAGGACCCUGGGAUUGCUGUGGGAUCCUGGGAUCACUGUGGGACCCUGGAAUUGCUUCCUGACCCUGGGAUCACUGCAGGACCCUGGGAUCGUUGUGGGACCCUGGGAUCANGGACCCUGGGAUCAACAGGAGACCCUGGGAUCAUUGUGGGACCCUGGGAUCACUGCAGGACCCUGGGAUCAACGUGAGACCCUGGGAUUGCUGCAGGACCCUGGGAUCGCUGUGGGAUCCUGGAAUUGCUUCCUGACCCUGGGAUCACUGCAGGACCCUGGGAUCGUUGUGGGACCCUGGGAUCACAGUGGGACCUUGGGAUUGCUGUGGGACCCUGAGAUCAACGUGAGACCCUGGGAUUGCUGUGGGACCCUGGGAUCACAGUGGGACCUUGGGAUUGCUGUGGGACCCUGAGAUCAACGUGAGACCCUGGGAUUGCUGUGGGACCCUGGGAUCACCGUGGGACCCUGGGAUCAACAUGAGACUCUGGGAUCAUUGUGGGACCCUGGGAUCAACGUGAGCCCCUGGGAUCGUUGUGGGACCCUGGGAUCGCUGUGGGACCCUGAGCACGUAGAGCUGGGAC
rnacentral:lncRNA from 1 species